rnacentral:lncRNA from 1 species
CAAACAAACAAACCCCAAUUCUCCUCUUUCAACAGCAAUCAGAAUCCUAAGGAGAGACUUUAACCAAGCGAUAACCAGAGAGAAUCAACCCCAGCAAGCCAGCCAGCCUCCCUUAAUUAAAUCCCCCCCACCCAAAAAGAUUUGUUCUUUCUCUUUCUCUCACUCUGUUGUUCCUCCCUCCCACACUCUCUUUUGCAAAAACGUCAUUUAGCCAAAAAGGAAGGAAGGGGGCGGGAAAUGGAUGUCUGGUCUCCUUCUGUCGCCAUGGAUGACG